rnacentral:rRNA from 1 species
CAGUCGCCGCGGAAAUACGUAGGGUACGAGCGUUAAUCGGAAUUACUGGGCGUAAAGCGUGCGCAGGCGGUUUUGUAAGACAGGCGUGAAAUCCCCGGGCUCAACCUGGGAAUGGCGCUUGUGACUGCAAAGCUAGAGUGCGGCAGAGGGGGAUGGAAUUCCGCGUGUAGCAGUGAAAUGCGUAGAUAUGCGGAGGAACACCGAUGGCGAAGGCAAUCCCCUGGGCCUGCACUGACGCUCAUGCACGAAAGCGUGGGGAGCAAACAGGAUUAGAUACCCCUGUAGUCCCUGUCUCUUAUAC